AUUGAACGCUGGCGGCACGCCUAACACAUGCGAGUCGAGCGAGCGGCGGACGGGUGAGUAAUGUCUGGGAAACUGCCUGAUGGAUGGGGAUAACUACUGGAAACGGUAGCUCAUACCGCAUACCAUCAGCUGUGCGCAGAGGGAAAUAGCUCGUAGGUCGGGUAACGGCUCACGUAGGCGACGCUCCCUCGCUGGUCUGAGCGGAUGACCAGCCACCCGGGAACUGAGACACGGUCCAGACUCCUACGGGAGGCAGCGGUGGGGAAUAUUGCGCAAUGGGCGCAAGCCUGAUGCAGCCAUGCCGCGUGUGUGAAGAAGGCCUUCGGGUUGUAAAGCACUUUCAGCGGGGAGGCGUGACCCGCAGAAGAAGCACCGGCUAACUCCGUGCCAGCCGCCGCGGUAAUAC
rnacentral:rRNA from 1 species